rnacentral:rRNA from 1 species
UACGUAGGGUGCAAGCGUUGUCCGGAAUUAUUGGGCGUAAAGAGCUCGUAGGCGGUCUGUCGCGUCGGCUGUGAAAACCCGGGGCUCAACCCCGGGCCUGCAGUCGAUACGGGCAGACUAGAGUGCGGUAGGGGAGACUGGAAUUCCUGGUGUAGCGGUGAAAUGCGCAGAUAUCAGGAGGAACACCGGUGGCGAAGGCGACAUCCUGGACCAACACUGACGCUGAGGAGCGAAAGCCAGGGGAGCAAACGGG